rnacentral:rRNA from 1 species
GGCCUUCGGGUUGUAAACCGCUUUCGCCUGUGACGAAGCGUGAGUGACGGUAAUGGGUAAAGAAGCACCGGCUAACUACGUGCCAGCAGCCGCGGUGAUACGUAGGGUGCGAGCGUUGUCCGGAUUUAUUGGGCGUAAAGGGCUCGUAGGUGGUUGAUCGCGUCGGAAGUGUAAUCUUGGGGCUUAACCCUGAGCGUGCUUUCGAUACGGGUUGACUUGAGGAAGGUAGGGGAGAAUGGAAUUCCUGGUGGAGCGGUGGAAUGCGCAGAUAUCAGGAGGAACACCAGUGGCGAAGGCGGUUCUCUGGGCCUUUCCUGACGCUGAGGAGCGAAAGCGUGGGGAGCGAACAGGCUUAGAUACCCUGGUAGUCCACGCUGUAAACGGUGGGUACUAGGUGUGGGGUCCAUUCCACGGGUUCCGUGCCGUAGCUAACGCUUUAAGUACCCCGCCUGGGGAGUACGGCCGCAAGGCUAAAACUCAAAGG